rnacentral:rRNA from 1 species
CCAAUAGCGUAUAUUAAAGUUGUUGCAGUUAAAAAGCUCGUAGUUGAACUUCGGGAUCAAUUGGUCGGUCAUGCCAACUGGUUUGAACUGGCCAUAUUGGUUCUCACCUUCUAAUGAACCAUAAUGUCAUUUAUUUGAUGUUAUGGGGAAUUAGGACUGUUACCUUGAAAAAAUUAGAGUGUUUAAAGCAGGCUUUCGCUUGAAUACAUUAGCAUGGAAUAAUGAAAUAGGACAUCGCAUUCUAUUUUGUUGGUUUCUAGGAUCGAUGUAAUGAUUAAUAGGGAUAGUUGGGGGCAUUAGUAUUCAAUUGUCAGAGGUGAAAUUCUUGGAUUUAUUGAAGACUAACUACUGCGAAAGCAUUUGCCAAGGAUGUUUUCAUUAAUCAAGAACGAAAGUUAGGGGAUCGAAGACGAUCAGAUACCGUCGUAAUCUUAACCAUAAACUAUGCCGACUAGGGAUCGGAUGAUGUUGAUUUUAUAAUGACUCAUUCGGCACCUUACG